rnacentral:lncRNA from 1 species
CCUUGGACUCCUCAGAAUCUAGCUAUUUUAGAAUUCUCUUUUUCUUAUACAACCUUAGUAUACUUUAAACCUCCAUGGGAAAAAAAAGAAAAAAAAUCUAAUUAGGAUUAGCAUGGAAAUUAAAAUGUUGGAAAAUAUAGCUGCAUUGACAUAACAUUAUAUUAUCUAAAGUAGAAUAUAUAAUUGCUAUUUGAUUGAUGCUAACAACAGAGAUGAGCGGAAACCACAUCUAUGAAAGCCUCACAACUUCAUUACUCUCAAAUGAACCAAUCAUAGCUCACGAACAGCUUGAGUUUGAUGCAAAAUUGGGCUGCAC